rnacentral:rRNA from 1 species
AAUGAACGCUGGCGGCGUGCCUAACACAUGCAAGUCGGAUGUGCCGCAAGGUGCAUGGCAGACGGGUGAGUAACGCGUAGGGAAUCUACCUUUUUGUGGGGAAUAACGCUCCGAAAGGAGUGGUAAUACCGCAUGAGACCGUGAGCUGGGAUGUUCACGGUGAAACCUGGGGGCCGCAAGGCCUGGGGCAAAAAGAGGAUCCUGCGUCUGAUUAGCUAGUUGGCGGGGUAAUGGCCCACCAAGGCGACGAUCAGUAGCCGGCCUGAGAGGGUGAUCGGCCACACUGGAACUGAGACACGGUCCAGACUCCUACGGGAGGCAGCAGUGGGGAAUUUUGCGCAAUGGACGAAAGUCUGACGCAGCAACGCCGCGUGGGUGAUGAAGGUCUUCGGACUGUAAAACCCUGUCGUCAGGGACGAAGGUGGCAGUGUUAAUAGCGCUGUUACUUGACGGUACCUGGAGAGGAAGCCCCGGCUAACUCUGUG